GACAGAGGGUGCAACCGUUGUUCGGAUUUACUGGGCGUAAAGCGCGUGUAGGCGGCUUUGCAAGUCGGAUGUGAAAGCCCACGGCUCAACCGUGGAAGUGCAUCCGAAACUGCAUGGCUCGAGUCUCGGAGAGGAAGGUGGAAUGCUUGGUGUAGAGGUGAAAUUCGUAGAUAUCAAGCAGAACACCUGCGGCGAAGGCGGCCUUCUGGACGAUGACCGACGCUGAGACGCGAAAGCGUGGGGAGCAAACAGG
rnacentral:rRNA from 1 species